UACGAAGGGGCUAGCGUUGUUCGGAAUCACUGGGCGUAAAGCGCACGUAGGCGGAUUGUUAAGUCGGGGGUGAAAUCCUGAGGCUCAACCUCAGAACUGCCUUCGAUACUGGCAAUCUCGAGUCCGGAAGAGGUUGGUGGAACAGCUAGUGUAGAGGUGAAAUUCGUAGAUAUUAGCUAGAACACCAGUGGCGAAGGCGGCCAACUGGUCCGGUACUGACGCUGAGGUGCGAAAGCGUGGGGAGCAAACAGG
rnacentral:rRNA from 1 species